rnacentral:rRNA from 1 species
AUGCUACCUCGGCCAUAUUUUGUAAAAAAUAGACACCCUGGAACCAAAAAGACAAUUGACCAUUUGAUCAUCGCGUGUCCGUUUUGUGUGGCUUGUUGGCUGAAAGUUGGAAUUUCAUGGAGUCCGAAUCAAACGCGGAUUGACGCCAUCCAAGCUGUUAAACAGAGCUUCUUCGGAGACUUACUUUUUGAGAUUAUGGGUAUUGUUGCCUGGAAUAUUUGGAAAGAGCGAAACAACUUCAUUUUCAGGCACAUCAAUCCUACUUUGGCCGCUUGGAGAGAGAGGUCCAAGUCAGAUCUUCUCUGGCUGAAAUAUAGAGUGGACAAAGCUUUUUGGGACUACAUUACUCAGUUAGCUCGUUCUUUGUAA